CAGUCGCCGCGGGAAUACAGAGGGUGCGAGCGUUAAUCGGAUUUACUGGGCGUAAAGCGUGCGUAGGCGGCUUCUUAAGUCGGAUGUGAAAUCCCUGAGCUUAACUUAGGAAUUGCAUUCGAUACUGGGAAGCUAGAGUAUGGGAGAGGAUGGUAGAAUUCCAGGUGUAGCGGUGAAAUGCGUAGAGAUCUGGAGGAAUACCGAUGGCGAAGGCAGCCAUCUGGCCUAAUACUGACGCUGAGGUACGAAAGCAUGGGGAGCAAACAGGAUUAGAUACCCCCGUAGUUCCUGUCUCUUAUAC
rnacentral:rRNA from 1 species